rnacentral:rRNA from 1 species
UACAGAGGUCUCAAGCGUUGUUCGGAUUCAUUGGGCGUAAAGGGUGCGUAGGCGGCGCGGUAAGUCGGGUGUGAAAUCUCGGAGCUUAACUCCGAAACUGCAUUCGAUACUGCCGUGCUUGAGGACUGGAGAGGAGACUGGAAUUUACGGUGUAGCGGUGAAAUGCGUAGAUAUCGGAAGGAACACCUGUGGCGAAAGCGGCUCACUGGACCAUAACUGACGCUGAGGCACGAAGGUCAGGGGAGCAAACGGG